GACGUAGGUGGCGAACGUUAUCCGGAAUUAUUGGGCGUAAAGGGUUCGUAGAUGGCUUGAUAAGUUAGCAGUGGGAAAUCGAGGCUCAACCUCGUGGAAGCUGGUAAUACUGUCAGGCUCGAGUGCAGGAGAGGUUAACGGAACUCCAUGUGGAGCGGUAAAAUGUGUAGAUAUAUGGAAGAACACCAAUAACGGCGAAGGCAGUUAACUAUUCUGUUACUGACAUUGAGGCACGAAAGCGUGGGGAGCAAAACGG
rnacentral:rRNA from 1 species